rnacentral:rRNA from 1 species
AAAUGAAUAGACGGGCACCCGCACAAGCGGUGGAGCAUGCCGUUUAAUUCGAAGAUACGCGAAGAACCUUACCUGGGCUUGACAUCCCGAUGAAAACUUUUGGAAACAUUAGUCCUCUACUUCGGUAGACAUCGGUGACAGGUGGUGCAUGGUUGUCGUCAGCUCGUGUCGUGAGAUGUUCGGUUAAGUCCGAUAACGAGCGCAACCCCUGUCUUUAAUUGCUAACAUUAAGUUGAGAACCUUAAAGAUACUGCCGAUAACAAAUCGGAGGAAGGUGGGGAUGACGUCAAAUCAUCAUGCCCCUUACGUCCAGGGCUACAGGCGUGCUACAAUGGCUGGUAUAAAAAGACGCGAUACCGUGAGGUGGAGCAAAUCUCCAAAGCCAGUCUCAAUACGGAUUGAAGUCUGCAACUCGACUUCAUGAAGCUGGAAUCGCUAGUAAUCCUGAAUCAGAAUGUCAGGGUGAAUACGUUCCCGGGUGUUGUACACACCGCCCGU